UACGGGGGGGGGCUAGCGUUGUUCGGAAUUACUGGGCGUAAAGGGCGCGUAGGCGGCCUACUAAGUCGGACGUGAAAUCCCUCGGCUCAACCGGGGAACUGCGUCCGAUACUGGUGGGCUCGAAUCCGGGAGAGGGAUGUGGAAUUCCAGGUGUAGCGGUGAAAUGCGUAGAUAUCUGGAGGAACACCGGUGGCGAAGGCGGCAUCCUGGACCGGCAUUGACGCUGAGGAGCGAAAGCCAGGGGAGCAAACGGG
rnacentral:rRNA from 1 species